ensembl:antisense A830011K09Rik RIKEN cDNA A830011K09 gene
GUCAGCACAACCCAUUGCAUAUGCUCCUGACAAACGCUGGGGACAUCCCCUCCCACCCAUGCCUAUCACACAGAGAAUGUGACCUCUGCAGGACUGGACUCUGGAAGGACCCUACCUCCAGGACUCGCCCACAAGAAGAACUGCAAAAGAGCUCCGGAGGAGAAGGAUGAAAACUUUAAGGAACAAUGAAGGAGAGAGGUGCCGCUCUGAACCGGUGAGAAGAAAAAAAUUACACAGCACACCUGGGACAGAUGAAGCCAAACUAGUGCUUUUAUAAUGCCAAUCAGCGCGGCUGUUAUCAUCCCUCUAAUUAGGAAAGCUGCCUAAAACAGAGCGCACUUGGGGAAAUGGUAAUGUUAUGGUUUUGCACUUAAAAGGAGGCACAUUUCCUGCGCUGUAAGGAUCUGGGAUUGGGGCUGACAAGUCCUUUAAUUAAUGGCAGGAUUCCCUGUGUGUGCAAGUGUGUGUGCUUGUUUUAAUUCAUAAAAGUGGACAAAGGG